UACGUAGGUGACAAGCGUUGUCCGGAUUUACUGGGCGUAAAGAGCGCGCAGGCGGUCGUUCAAGUCGAGUGUGAAAUCUCCAGGCUCAACCUGGAGGGGUCAUUCGAUACUGCCAUGACUAGAGUUCGGUAGGGGAGUGUGGAAGUUCCUGGUGGAGCGGUGAAAUGCGCAGAUAUCAGGAGGAACACCGGUGGCGAAGGCGGUUCUCUGGGCAUGUCCUGACGCUGAGGAGCGAAAGUGUGGGGAGCGAACAGG
rnacentral:rRNA from 1 species